GGGCUGCAGCUCCACUAGCGCCAAGUUGCAGUUCUGGGUGGUGCAGCAGGGGCCAUCGCCUUCCUCCCCAGGGGGGUCACCUUCAGAGCGCGGGCCUCUGGGUUCCGAGGGUGCUGGUGACCUGAGAAGAAGGGAGGGGACAGAGGAGGAGACACACCUGAUCAGCCCGGGAGACUUUGGAGGAGGCGGGCCGGCCGGGAGGAAGUGGCGGGGAGGAGGGACCGGAGCACCCCAGGAUCGAAGAGGGCGCACGGGCCCGGCCCUCCCACGCGCCCUCCAGGGACCCGGCAGCCAGACAGACGGACAGGCGGACCGCUAGGGAGCUCAAGUACCCGGACACACGCACGAGCGCAGAACAAAGGGCCGGACAUGCUCCAGCCCGCUCCGCCUGCGCCUCGGCCUUGCGCGCGGGGGCCCGGGUUACCUGCGCAGAGCCAGCUGUGAUGUAAAGAAGUUUGUGCUGCAUGAGAGAGAUAGCACCUGAAGAAAAUGAGGCCCUGGAGGAUGAGAGACUCUAAAGGAAAAGGGAAGGGCCUGCUGUCUUCCAGCCACGCCAGCCCCCAACUGAGAAGCUGGGUGAAGCCAUCUUGCAUCUUUAGCCCCAGUCAAGUUACCUCAGCAAAGACUAGCUGACCCUGCCAAGCCCUGCCCAAGUUACAGAAUCAUGAGCAAAUAAAUGGCUGUUUCUGUUUUAAGCUUUUAAAUUUUGGGGGUGGUUUAUGUGUCAAUAAUAACUGAAACAGAUAAUAUAUACAGAAUAAACUUUAGUUUUAAUAAUCUAAGUAAAAGCCCACUAAUUCAUUAUGCAGAAAAAAAUGAUUUUUUUGAGACGGGGUCUCGCUCUGUUGCCAGGCUGGAGUGCUGUGGCACAACCAUAGCUCACUGCAGCCUCCACCUCCCUGGUUCAAGCGAUCUUCCCACCUCAGCCUCCCGAGUAGUUGAGACCACAGGUAUGUGCCACAACACCUGACUAAUUUUGUAAAUUUUUUGUAGAGAUGGGGUCCUGCCAUAUUGCUGAGGCUGGUCUCUAACUUCUGGGCUCAAGCCAUCCUCCUGCCUCAGCCUCCCAAAGUAUUAGGAUUACAGGUGUGAGCCACUGUGCCCAGCCAAUUUAACUUCUAUUUUAAAAAGACAGCCCCUCACAGAUACUGCUACAGCUCUGUUAAAUCAAAUUUAGCCUCCUUACAUAUUUUGAGUUUGACGUAAAGGUUUCUCUGUACAUAGUGAACUGUCACCUAAAUGGAGGUGUAAACAGCCUGUAAUCUACCCUUGUGCCAAACACCAAGUUUUGGCCAAUCAAAAGGGGCCAACUGUUCAAACCCUCUUCAAAUAAGGCAAACACUGAGCUGUAACCAAUCUGGCUGUUUCUGUCCCUCAUUUCCAUUUUCUGUACAUCACUUUCCUUAUGCUGCCCAUAAAUCUCUGAGCCUACUCUGGCUCAGAAUGCUGCCCAAUUUACCAAUCGUACUUUGCUAAAUUGAACUCUUAAAUUUAAUUUGACUAUGGAUUUUUUUUUUUGAGACAGAAAUUUGCUCUUGUCGCCCAGGCUGGAGUGCAAUGGUGCAAUCUCAGCUCACCACAACCUCCAUCUCCCGGGUUCAAGUGAUUCUCCUGCCUCAGCCUCCCGAGUAACUGGGAUUACAGGCAUGCACCACCAUACCUGGCUAAUUUUGUAUUUUUAGUAGAAACGGGGUUUCUCCAUGUUGGUCAGGCUGGUCUCGAACUCCUAACCUCAGGUGAUCUGCCCACCUCAGCCUCCCAAAGUGCUGGGAUUACAGGCGUGAGCCAUUGCGCCUGGCCUAAUUUGGCUAUGGAUUUUCUUUUAACAGCUCUUAAAGGGUUGUUUUUUGUUGUUGUUUUUUUUUUUUUGAGAUAGAGUUUUGCUCUUGUUGCCCAGGCUGGAAUGCAAUGGCUCGAUCUCAGCUCACUGCAACCUCCGCCUCCCAGCUUCAAGUAAUUCUCCCUCAGCCUCCUGAGUAGCUGGGAUUACAGGCAUGCGCCACCAUGCCCGGCUAAUUUUGUAUU
rnacentral:lncRNA from 1 species